GAACGAACGCUGGCGGCGCGUCUAAGCAUGCAAGUCGAACGGCAAGAGGUAGCAAUACCUCCUAGAGUGGCGGACUGGUGAGUAACACGUGGGUGACAUACCCUUCAGAUGGGGAUAGCUAUUAGAAAUAGUAGAUAAUACCGAAUACGAGCACAGGGGUUAGAGAUCUGUGAGGAAAGGAGCUAAGGCUCCGCUGAAGGAAUGGCCUGCGGCCCAUUAGCUAGUUGGUGAGGUAAGAGCCCACCAAGGCGAUGAUGGGUAUCCGGCCUUAGAGGGUGAACGGACACAUUGGGACUGAGAUACGGCCCAGACUCCUACGGGUGGCAGCAGCUAAGAAUAUUCCGCAAUGGACGAAAGUCUGACGGAGCGACGCCGCGUGGAUGAAGAAGGCCGGAAGGUUGUAAAAUCCUUUUGAAACUGAAGAAUAAGCGUUGUAGGGAAUGACAGCGUGGUGACAGUAGGUUUUGAAUAAGCAACGGCUAAUUACGUGCCAGCAGCCGC
rnacentral:rRNA from 1 species